UUGAACAAUAAACAAAAACAUAAGAAGACCAUUAUCUCUCCUCAUCCACAACGAUCAGGGCAGAAGGAAGAAAAGCCACAUAGUCAAUUUCAUCUUUAUCUUGUUGAUUAAUUUUCCUUGUGAUCUACCUUUCCACUCCGUUUCUUCGCUCAAUUUCAUUUACCCAUAUUCGUUUCCCCUUUUUUUUUUCACUCUCUCUCUCUUCACUCUCAUGAAUUCUGCAUAUAUGCUUUGUUUUGGGUUUUGAAAUUUAACCAUGGUGCCAUUAUGAGUUUCUUUUCUGGGAAUUUUGAGAUUGUUUUCUGGGUUUCAAUUUGAUGUUGAUGAGCUCUUGAGAUAUGGAGAUGGGUCUGACUAUCUGAGUCUACUUUGCUGAUUGAUUUUGAGAGUUUGGGAUUAUGGGUCAGAUGUUUUACCUCUUCAAAAUUGGGGGAUGUUGCUCUCUUGAAUUUUAGUGAAGAGGAAGAGGGAAGAGGCGGAGGUGCUGUAGAUGAGGCUGUCGAGAUCUUUGCAGAGGGAAGAGUGCGAGAGAGAAGGAUGUAAAAGUGAGAAAAGCAUGAGGACAAUUCGGAUAUUCAUCAAAAUUUCAUUUAAUCUUCCGCGUCCAGAGUUGAUUCUCGCAAAAGCUACAAAUUGUAGCUUCUUCAAUUCGGUGGUUGGGAGAAGCGCUUCGGGUCAGAAGUUGAUUCUCCAUGGUUUACCAAACACCACCAAACAAUAUCAGAAGCGCUUUUGAGAUCAAAAGCAGUUUCAAAAUCAAUCCCAAACUAAGCCUUAGUUUCUUGCUUUUGACUUGACAAAUCUUACUUCAAUAUUAGAGAGAUUCUUACGUAGGGCAAACAUACCACAUGACUGGUAGGGCUGCUCAAUUAGUGAACAUACAAUAGGAUGUUUUGGGUAUUUUAUUUUAAUAAAUAAUGAUAAAUUCGGAAUACACUUAAAAAAAUUUAAAUUUU